GAUGAACGCUGGCGGCGUGCCUAAUACAUGCAAGUCGAGCGAACAGAUGAGGAGCUUGCUCCUCUGACGUUAGCGGCGGACGGGUGAGUAACACUUGGAUAACCUACCUAUAAGACUGGGAUAACUUCGGGAAACCGGAGCUAAUACCGGAUAAUAUAUUGAACCGCAUGGUUCAUUAGUGAAAGCCGGUUUUGCUGUCACUUUUAGAUGGAUCCGCGCCGCAUUAGCUAGUUGGUAAGGUAACGGCUUACCAAGGCAACGAUGCGUAGCCGACCUGAGAGGGUGAUCGGCCACACUGGAACUGAGACACGGUCCAGACUCCUACGGGAGGCAGCAGUAGGGAAUCUUCCGCAAUGGGCGAAAGCCUGACGGAGCAACGCCGCGUGAGUGAUGAAGGUCUUCGGAUCGUAAAACUCUGUUAUUAGGGAAGAACAAAUGUGUAAGUAACUAUGCACGUCUUGACGGUACCUAAUCAGAAAGCCACGGCUAACUACGUG
rnacentral:rRNA from 1 species